UUUUAUUAUUUUAUCUGAUAUCCAAUUUCUAAGCAAUGGUAUUUUUAUUCUAUUCUGUCAAAAAAAGUAGUAGUGAUACUUAUAUCAAAAGUUGUCUCUCUCUUUCAGUUAGCAAUGUCUUAUCCUUUUUGGGCCUCUUUACCUAUGUGACAUCUUUUAAUGUAUAGUCAUGAGAUAUUGUAAAUCCAUAUGUAUCAUCUAUUUAUUUGAUCUACUACGGCUAGUGCUCUCUGCAAUUUCAUAUGCUGAUAAAGUGCAAGCAAUGUGGUCUACAGGUACCAGCAGGGAUAUAUAGGCUAAAGCUCCAUAUUGCUGGGAUCCGUGGCCAGGUAAUUGUUUUGGCGUGGUGCAGAAGCCCAGGAAACAGCCCAGACUCUACUUUUAGGAUGAAAUGGUAGAAGGAACAAACAGUGAGAAGAGAUUGGAAAUUUGAAGGCAAAUGCUGGAAUAUUUGAUGUUUUUUUUCUAGUGUUGCUUUUGAUGCAAGAUGAAUGUAACUUGCAUGUAAAUUUUGAGGUGCUUCUCAAUGUAAAUCAUACGAUAUUGUAUUUGAUUUGAUGCUGUGGUAAAUAGUCUUACAAUUUUGGUAUAUAUAUUCUGGGCUGUAAUGACUAUUCUAAUAAAAGGAUUGAAAUUAGGCCCAAUUUGGUGGCCCACUCUGAAUUGGGCCCAUCCA